GGGAGAUGGAGAGAUGGAGAGAUGGAGAGAGAGAGAGAGCACUCGAGAAUAUAUAUGGUGAAGGAGAAAGAUUCAGGAAGCACUGCGGUGGUUUAAGGUGCCUGUUCAAGUUAUUAUGUUUUAUAUGUUGCUUUGCUUACUGAGUAAUCACCCUCGUGCACCUUAUGCCUUGUAUAUAGCGUAGCCCAUUUCUGUGUUUUUUAAUGUAUUUUCAUGCCCAUAUUUGGACUUCAUUUUUUUUUAAGACAUGCACUGCAAAAGCUCCAUAAACUUUGGCCAUUGGUGCCGGUGGAGUUGGUGAAAAUGACAACAGAAGUAGCGAAAUUUCACUUGAUAAACAACUGCUGGAACGUGUUAGCGCUGCUAUUCGUCGUGAAGUAUCUGUACUUUGUGGCUGCCUAUGUUGCCACUCCUCGUAAAGAAUCUUCCACUUUGUGGUUGAUGCAAUCCCAUGCUCUUAUCCGUGAAUGAGCUCAGCAUUUUGAGCUUUUAAUGCAUGGAUCAUGGAGCAACCUCUCUAUCAGGCAACAGCCUGAAAUAUCAUCGACCAUUAGUCUCAGCUGUCUAUAAAAUUCAGUAUCUACUCAAAGCAGUUAAGAAUGCUGAUUUCUUUAACCGCUGGGUAUGAGCUGUUCGUGACCCAGUUGCCAUGUUGUAGAGGCACAGACAGGUGCUGGUUGGUGUGGCUGGGAGGGGCUACAGGCCCUUCAUUUAUGACAAGGGACCCCAUCGCAUGUUCAUAUUUCUCAGGGUAGGUUCAUAUACGAUCAGACCACAUUGCUUGAUGGUGGCUGAAAUAUAGCAGGUGUACGUCCAUGUUGCAGAGAUACCAAGCAACCUCUUUAAACUUAAACCGGUCCAUGCAAAACAGCAUUAAGAAGUGGUUGGUUCUUGGAAGUGGUCAAAAAACAUAAUUUGAUAAAACCACAUUCCUUGUCUGCAAGGUAUUGUGUUUUUAAAAUGUCAGAACUGCCCAUCUGUGAUGGAGACACCCUUGCCCUCGUUGUAUUGUAUUUUUCUAGGAUGGGCAAGGUUCUUUCUCUGUGAUUGACCUAAUCUGGUGAUGACGCUUCAAAAGUGGAGCCUUUUGGUGUGUGGUCUACCAUGACGGGCUCCCCACGUGAGUGACAAUUUGAAGCCCAAGUCAGCACUCCACAACCCAAUCCAGCCUCCACUCCCUCUCUCUCGAAAAUAAAGUAUACAUAGAAAAAGUGACGUGAAGGACUCCAACAGCCUUAGGUGAUGCUGAACCAUUUUCACAAGAAACUCUGGUCGGCUUAUUUUUUAGAUUUUCUUGCUUAGCUCUCUAAUUACUUAACUAAGUAUUGUUUCUCCCUUCCUCUCCCCGUUAUGGCACAUUAUGCCGUCCUUUGUCUGUCCAAUGUCCACUUGUCGCUCAUUUGGAGUGUCUCUGGCCCACCCAUUUAGGCAUCUAUGAUAUCAAUUUGUGUGUGCUAUGACAACCUACCUCUCAUGAUUUGUCUUGAUCCAUAUUUUACAAUGGCAUGAGUGUGUUAUCGACAAGGAUUGGAUGGCCAUUAUCGUUUCAGAGGUUGUAUUUGUUUUUUAAGUUAGUCAACUGUAACCAGGUCUUUGGCCUGUGCAUGCAUGACGUGUACGAAACAGCCUUCCUGAUUGAGGAUUGUUACAGGUAUAAUACACAGCACAGGACUAGCAAAUCAGAGUGGCUGCGUGGCUGGAAAUAGUAGGAGAAUCUCGUUGUUCAAAAACUGAACUGUAUUGUCCAACAAAUUCAUCUACAGGGAACCUUAAUUUGAUGGCUUGGGAGGAGGAUUUGAGUUUGUGAAGAACCUGUGUUGAGAGGAGGUGUCUUGCUGCCCAGCUGGACUUUACCUGGGUCUGCAUUGUUAUCCAUAUUAACUGCUGUCAAUGGAAUCACAAUUACGAAUUCAAUAAGCUCUUAGGGUUAGCUUUUGGUGACCUGGGACCACAUCUGAACUUCCAAAUUUUUCCAUUGCCCUGGAAUCUAUAGCGCUUUUAGUCUUUCUACCUUCACCUACAGGUCUUGUAAAUUCAAUAUUUAGUUAACCCUGUUUCCCAACACCAACAGACCUACUUUGUUUCUCGUGUUGUUGGUGAGGAUAUGACAAAUUACAGCAAAUGUCGUAGAAAAAUUUCAAGAAUGUCUGUUUCCUUGGACAAUGUUGCAUCCCAGUUUUCAAAAGAUAUUGAUUGCAGUGU